GAUGAACGCUGGCGGCGUGCCUAAUACAUGCAAGUCGAGCGAACAGACGAGGAGCUUGCUCCUCUGACGUUAGCGGCGGACGGGUGAGUAACACGUGGAUAACCUACCUAUAAUACUGGUAUAACUUCGGGAAACCGGCGCUAAUACCGGAUAAUAUAUUGAACCGCAUGGUUCAAUAGUGAAAGACGGUUUUGCUGUCACGUAUAGAUGGAUCCGCGCCGCAUUAGCUAGUUGGUAAGGUAACGGCUUAGCAAGGCGACGAGGCGUAGCCGACCGGAGGGGGUGGUCGGCCGCCUUGGAACGGAGACACGGUCCAGACGCCUACGGGAGGCAGCAGUAGGGAAUCGUCCGCAAUGGGCGGAAGCCUGACGGAGCAACGCCGCGUGAGUGAUGAAGGUCUUCGGAUCGUGAAACUCUGUUAUUAGGGAAGAACAAAUGUGUAAGUAACUAUGCACGUCUUGACGGUACCUAAUCAGAAAGCCACGGCUAACUACGUG
rnacentral:rRNA from 1 species